UACAGAGGUCUCAAGCGUUGUUCGGAUUCAUUGGGCGUAAAGGGUGCGUAGGCGGCGCGGUGAGUCGGAUGUGAAAUCUCGGGGCUCAACCCCGAAACUGCACUUGAUACUGCCUUGCUCGAGUACUGGAGAGGAGACUGGAAUUUACGGUGUAGCAGUGAAAUGCGUAGAUAUCGUAAGGAAGACCAGUGGCGAAGGCGAGUCUCUGGACAGUUACUGACGCUGAGGCACGAAGGCCAGGGGAGCAAACGGG
rnacentral:rRNA from 1 species